CUUUUGUCUUAUGUUCUUAAGGAAAUGAAAGAACUCACAAAUUGUAUGAGACAAAAUGACAGUUUUAAGAUCAACUUUUAUUGAAAAAUUAAAACUGCAUUGCAUAUCUUCUUUAUAAUUUUGACAUUUCUUUAACCACAAAACAGACAUUCUAUUAAAAAAAUCUCAUCAUAGUUUUCACCAUUCAAAUAACAGAUUAUGAACUGAACAAAUGAUGACUUUAAAAUUCCAGGUUAUUCUCAAGGCCCCUGGUUCUGUCCGUCUACCAUGAACACUAGAAUCCAACUAUGUUCUCCAGAAAAAGGACCUUUAGUAGUUUGGUCAGAAUUUUUGUCAUUCAAAAAUCAGCAGCUGCUGUUGAUUUUUAUUCAAUGAUCAGUC